GAUGAACGCUGGCGGCGUGCCUAAUACAUGCAAGUCGAGCGAACAGACGAGGAGCUUGCUCCUCUGACGUUAGCGGCGGACGGGUGAGUAACACGUGGAUAACCUACCUAUAAGACUGGGAUAACUUCGGGAAACCGGAGCUAAUACCGGAUAAUAUAUUGAACCGCAUGGUUCAAUAGUGAAAGACGGUUUUGCUGUCACUUAUAGAUGGAUCCGCGCCGCAUUAGCUAGUUGGUAAGGUAACGGCUUACCAAGGCGACGAUGCGUAGCCGACCUGAGAGGGUGAUAGGCCACACUGGAACUGAGACACGGUCCAGACUGCUACGGGAGGCAGCAGUAGGGAAUCUUCCGCAAUGGGCGAAAGCCUGACGGAGCAACGCCGCGUGAGUGAUGAAGGUCUUCGGAUCGUAAAACUCUGUUAUUAGGGAAGAACAAAUGUGUAAGUAACUAUGCACGUCUUGACGGUACCUAAUCAGAAAGCCACGGCUAACUACGUG
rnacentral:rRNA from 1 species